rnacentral:tRNA from 1 species
ACUUGGGUCAGCUCAGAUGGCUAGAGCGAUGGCUGAACUAAAUCCUUCCCUUGCUGGCGUGGGUUCGAAUCCCACCCCGAGGU